GAUGAACGCUGGCGGCGUGCCUAAUACAUGCAAGUCGAGCGAACAGACGAGGAGCUUGCUCCUCUGACGUUAGCGGCGGACGGGUGAGUAACACGUGGAUAACCUACCUAUAAGACUGGGAUAACUUCGGGAAACCGGAGCUAAUACCGGAUAAUAUAUUGAACCGCAUGGUUCAAUAGUGAAAGACGGUUUUGCUGUCACUUAUAGAUGGAUCCGCGCCGCAUUAGCUAGUUGGUAAGGUAACGGCUUACCAAGGCAACGAUGCGUAGCCGACCUGAGAGGGGGUAGGGCACACAGGAAAAGAAGAAAGGUCCAAAACACAACGGGGGGCAACAAGGAGGAAUACUUCCGAAAGGGGAAAAAGUUGGAGGGAGAAAGGCGGGGGGAGGAAGAAGGGUCUUCGAAUAAAAAAACUUUUUUAUGAGGAAAAAAAAAAUGUGAAAGAAAAUAUGCACUUCUGAAGGGAACAUAAUAAGAAAGCCAGGGAAAACUACGUC
rnacentral:rRNA from 1 species